UCCGGGUUGAAAUCCCCGAGGAUGCAAAUGUACAUUACGCCGCACUGUUUGCAGUACGCACAUGGUACAGGUGUACCACAUAGUGGUCUUCAACUUUUAAUCUCCAAGAAGGAAAUGUAAUUAAAAGAUGAAUAAAGUAUCCCUAAGAAUACCAGAAGAAAGGCUAUGUGUUGAGAAAAACAGCCCUUCCUCAGUACCUCAGAACUAGAUGAUAGCCCUUAAUUGUUACUUUAUGCUGAAUAUGACACAGUAUAGAAGAUCUGAUCAUGAAGAAGUAACACCAUUGAUACACUUGCCAACUGCCAAAAUUACUUUCUGAUAGUAUGACGAGAUUAGAAGAUAUCAUGGUGUAGUCAUGACACAAACUGCAAAAUCAAAGAAUUAAUUGUCUUCCCCAGAGGAUGAACAGAGCAAGAUGGCUUCACAUGGAUAACAUUUCCUUUCGAGUUUUGAAAUUAAUUUGUCAGAAUGUUAUGCAUCGUUAUCAACAGAAAAGAACUUCAUAGGUAGACCAAAGCUGACAUGGGAUGAGAUCCUAGAACAAGACCUAGAGUUUACAGGAUUGGAUAGGAUCAAUCCACUGGGUCGCCAAGUGUGGAAGUACAAACUUCAACCUCGACAGGACAGCCAGGCCUCACCCUUGCAAAAAGAUUAAUUUGGCCUGGAUAGUCAAAAUGAGUGAUGAUGAUUGAUAUCAAGGUCUGACACUGGAAGCUCAGUAAGGGUAGAUGCUGGCAAUGGAGCUGUUUAGCAAUAAAACAAACAAGUUUAACAUUAAACAUGUUUGUAUACUUUUUUGGC